GAUGAACGCUGGCGGCGUGCCUAAUACAUGCAAGUCGAGCGAACGGACGAGAAGCUUGCUUCUCUGAUGUUAGCGGCGGACGGGUGAGUAACACGUGGAUAACCUACCUAUAAGACUGGGAUAACUUCGGGAAACCGGAGCUAAUACCGGAUGAUAUUUUGAACCGCAUGGUUCAAAAGUGAAAGACGGUCUUGCUGUCACUUAUAGAUGGAUCCGCGCUGCAUUAGCUAGUUGGUAAGGUAACGGCUUACCAAGGCAACGAUGCAUAGCCGACCUGAGAGGGUGAUCGGCCACACUGGAACUGAGACACGGUCCAGACUCCUACGGGAGGCAGCAGUAGGGAAUCUUCCGCAAUGGGCGAAAGCCUGACGGAGCAACGCCGCGUGAGUGAUGAAGGUCUUCGGAUCGUAAAACUCUGUUAUUAGGGAAGAACAUAUGUGUAAGUAACUGUGCACAUCUUGACGGUCCCUAAUCAGAAAGCCACGGCUAACUACGUG
rnacentral:rRNA from 1 species